rnacentral:rRNA from 1 species
UACGUAGGCAGCGAGCGUUGUUCGGAGUUACUGGGCGUAAAGAGUGCGUAGGCGGUUUUCUAAGUUUGGUGUGAAAUCUCCCGGCUCAACUGGGAGGGUGCGCCGAAGACUGGAAGGCUUGAGUAUGGGAGAGGUAAGCGGAAUUCCUGGUGUAGCGGUGAAAUGCGUAGAUAUCAGGAGGAACACCUGCGGUGUAGACGGCUUACUGGACCAUGACUGACGCUGAGGCACGAAAGCGUGGGUAGCAAACAGG